AUGACGACCGUGAGUGAGACCCGGUCCCUGACUUCCAGGAGCUCACAAUCUAGAGGAGAGAAAUCACACAUGCAAACUAGAAAAUCGUACCGUAAGUCCUGUAACAAAGGCUCACUCAUCCACUGCACAAGAUGUGUCGUGCUUGACGUGCAGCCUCAAGGAUGAACGGAUCAUUUUGAGAGCACUGAGGCCAAACGUAACUACUGUUCGUCUUCCGAACACGAAGGAUGUGACAGGAGCCGCCAGGCGCACGUUCUUCGAGGAGAGGGUCCUUCUCUUUGCACAACCAUCCCACCUGGUGUGCUCGCAAACAUCCAAUAAGUACUGCUUCCCGAGGGUGGAUUCCCUGUCCUCUCACUCACUAGACAAUUUCGCCCCAUCUUUCUUCGCCGGAAGGAAGGCUUUCUGGAGGGAAGCCUGAACUGAGUCUCAGAGGAUGUGUGGGAAUGAAACCAAGUUGUGUGUGUCAGAGGCACAGCUCGAGAAAAGCAGGAGAGAUGCAGCACGGCCACGGAGACUGCCACGCGAUCCAGCCUCUUGAGCCUGGCGAUCCCAAAGCCUUGACCUUGCUGGAGUCGUCUGCAGGUGGGCAAGCGUCGGGAGACAACCCCACUCUUGAGAGUAUGGGGCAGCAGCUAGAAUUCCAGCCCCUUAAGUCAGAGUGGCUCCGGCCGGUGGGCCGUGAGGCUGUGGAAUCGGCCAGACGCAGGAGGAUGCCGAGGGAGCGGGAAAUCGCAGCAAGUCGCAAAGCCGGUGAUCUUGUCAUCAACAGAGGGCUGCCGCGGGCUCUGUGUGGUUCCCACCUCUCUGCCCUCCACGCAUAGCCAAGUAUCCAGAAGCUGCACUUGGCUCUGCUCCCUCAGCCCCCGCAGCCCGCACCCCACCCUCCCCUGCACCUGCCUCCGAAAAGGCCUUGAGUCCCUCUGAUUCCUGGCGUCUCUGCAGCCUCUGACCCUGAGACCUGCGCUCCUGCCUCCACGUCCACAUCCCACGCCUUCCUGCUUUUCCCUCCUAAGGGUCUGACUGCUGCUACUGCCUGCGCCCCUCUGCGUCCCACUUCUCCUCUGCCAAUCCUGCAUCUGUUUCCCUCUCCGUCCUCUCUCCAGGUGAGAGCUUGGAUUCAGAGGCCAUUGAUACGGUCUAAAACUUCCUGAAUCACCAUCUAUGGCUCAAAUGCCUUUUUUUAUCCCCAAUGUGAUAAAAUACAUUUAACAUAAAUUUACCAUCAGAACCAUUUGGGGUUUGUUUGCUUGUUUGAGUGCACAGCUCAGUGUCAUGAAGCACGUUCGCACUGUUGUGCAAGCAUCCCCACCAUCCGUCUCCAGAGCCCUUUGGUCUCGCAAGCCUGAAACUUUGUACCUGUUGAACAACAGCUCCCCAUUCCGCCCCCCGCCCAGCCCCCAGCAACCACCAUUCUACUCUGUCUGAAGAUCAAGAGGUCCGAAGAGUGACAAAGGCUCUGAACAACGGUGGACGGAGUCCUGAUGUCACAUAUGGCCCCAGACCUUUCUGCUAGUCUAUAGAAACCAGUCCCCAGCAUUGGGUCUUUGUUCCUGUACUUUUCAUCUGCCUCAACACCCCUCCUCCUUCCGCACCCAGGAAGGUGGAUUCAGUCCUGCCCCUCGGUCCCAUCCUCCAGGGGUACUUUGAGCCUGCUCCCCCCUCCCACCGCCUUUCAGCACCUGGCUUCCCCUCUGACCAUGCUCACCCUAAAUCCCCUUUCCUAGACCCAAACCUGCUCGGGUGAGGCAUUCCCGGCUUGGGCUUUGCCACCUGCCCCUGACUUGCCUGGGAAGGCUCGCGUAGACGCGGCCUGGGAUGCCCUGGCUGCAGCACCAGGAGGAGAAAACCAUCGGACUUGGCCCAUCGGCUUCCCCUGAGUGCUCUGUGGAAGGCGGGGAAUGGAGACCACGAAGCCUCCGUAAAACCACGGCCCUGGCCUCACAGGAAAAGUUCCCCGGUGAAGUCACACCCUCCACGGAGGCAGCUCAGAAAGGCUGCGGAAAGAAGUCUUCUCUGGGAAUCGGGCAUGGGGGAAAACGUCCGCAGGGGCUCAAAAGCCAAGGCUGCAGGAAACAAAGUGCCGGUGGGGGUGGGGGCGUGGGGAGGGCGUGGGAGGUGGAAGUGACCGGCUGGUGUGCGUGUGCUGCCACCCGCCGGCGGACUUCGGAACUGCAGAGGCUCCCUUCUGGAACAGAGACGCGCCAAGCAUGCAAUAAUGGUGCACCCCAACGUGGGAAGCGUUAAGACAAGGUACCCAACCUUGCUGACAUUGUGGUUCAGGAUGGGAGAGACAGUAGCAGGUCGUUUGUGGUAAGUGCGAGCGACAGAGGGAGGGGAGCACGCCAGAAUGGCGGGGCUACUCGCCACCCCGUUAUCCAGUCCUCCAAUUCCAAGUCCUAAAUACUCCCAAAAUCCACCCAUUUCUCCCCGCUUCCGCUUCUCGCCUCAUCCACAUCUCCCUUUUGCCUAGCCUCCUCUCUAAAUAUUCGCUUUCUUUCCCUCAAUCAUCCACAGCAACUUGCUGUGAGGAUGGAGACGAGGUCAGGUGGGCGCUCAAUGGGGCCCCUCCCCCUCGGCCUCUCGUCAAUACAUCCCCCAUUCAAGACCAGCUCGUUCUUGCCUUCAGGAUUCUGCCUGACUGUCCCUGCCAUCACGCAUCGACUUCCUUGCCUCCCCCCUCGGAGGGCAGCUCAAACCUCACCUCUUUGGAGAAACCUUCCUGGACCCCUGUCCUUCUGCUAGCUAGUCUGGAAUGUACGGUUCCCUCUCGGCAAAUAUCAUGGUUUGAUGACAUCCGUGCCCAUUCAGUGGACCCAUGCGUCCUCCCCCCAAGCCUGCAAAUGCCACAUUGUAUCACCAGUGCUUCCCAUGGUACCUGCCAUCUAGUAAAUGCAGAAGAAACAUUUAUGGCAUGAACUUUAAUGGGCCUGUGGACUUAUGUGGGAGAAGGGACUUCUUAUGUGGCUAACUCUGUGAGCAUAGAGGUAUAUUCUCCACAGCAGGGUAGGGGACUACAUCUCUAGGUAGAGAGGUAUAGGGCCAGGAUUUCCCCUGCCACUCGGUGGGGUGCUUUAACCAUGGUGACAUCUCGCCCCGACCCUUCCAGUAAGACUCAACAUUGUUCCAUCCUGAAUGGGUGGGACUAAUGGCCCAGGGGGGUGAAUGUAGGGAAAGGUAGUGGAGAGAGACCAUUAAAGGCAGAAGGCCUCUGGGCCGAUUACCCCUAAAGCAUGUGAAGUGCACACAUAACUUUCACUGGGUCUCAGAGUGAAUGAUGUUGUGUAUACACUGUGGGGAGAGAGUCCUAAUCACCUACUUGGCAUCGUACCCUGGGACUCUGGCUGGCUGGAGUCAUUCAUCCCGCAACCUUUCGGGAAUGCCUGUCGUUCCACCCGCGGCCCCCAGAGGGCACUGUGGAGGCGCUUCCGGGCCGCCUGUUCGUGCGGGACUCGGAGAACAGGCACAGACAGAGGAGGCCCAGCCGCGCUGCGGGAGAAAUCGUUCAUUCUCCACAGCGUGAAGCUCGCCCGGGGCCGGAUGAGCCGGGCCGACCGCAGGGGUGGUGCGUACUUGGCCGCCGGGGUCCGGAGUCCGAAGGAGAGCAAAAAAUUAGGAGUUCUCGAAGAAAUGGCUCCCCCUUGUUAGGGGGGGGAGCUUUGGAGACGUUCCUCCCUGGGAGAUGGAUGGCAAAGGCUUAGAGUCACACCCCCUCCGCAGGGGGGGACUGGCGGUACCCACCUCCACCCGGGUGACCCUGCGUCUUCUGGAAGCCUGCUCUGUCACCCCAAGGCUUGCUCCGCAACGUCGGGGGUCCACAAACGCGGGCCCUCCCUGCCCUCAGGGCUCCAGAAGCCUGCGGAACGCUCCCCUGCGGCCAAGCCUGCAAAUGCCAGGUCUACGUAUCCCCAGUGUUUCCCAUGGGACCUGCAUCUAGCAGAUGCGGAGUCAGUCCGUCUUGGUGACAUGAAUUUGAACGGGGCUGCGGACUGCGUGCGGCUUCUCAGGGACUCUCGGCCGCAGCCACAGAGACGGAUCCCACAGCGGGUCAGUGCGGAAAACACCCCACGGGGAGGCGCUGGCAGCUCAGAGAGUAGCCAGAGGACGGAAGGGACGGACGUGGCGUGGACGGGAACAGGAACGAAGGCCCAGGCCACCACGGGAGAAACGAGGGGAGGACACCGAAGCCACCUCGGGGACGCUGGAGUGGGCGUGGCUGUCACCUUGUCACAACCAGGAGGACCCCGUGCUUCUUCGUGUCCCUCACUCUAUUCUGACUCUAGGCUGUGCUGCAGACCGGGGGAGGCUAAAAAAGAAGAAGAAAGAGGAAUUCAGUGUAACGCCUUCUACCUCCAGGCAGGCUUGUUCUUCGCUUUCCUUUUAUCAUCCGAAUUCUUCCAUGCACGUGCUUCGGACAAGAAAUCUUGGCUGCCUCUCUGGUCUGGAGGCUGUGGUGCCGCCCAGGCCCGCCUCCCAGCUGCCCAGGGCCCGCCGACAGCCCACAGCGGCUGCUUUGCCUCCCUGAACCCUCUUCCCCCCUCCCCCCAGGAAGGGGCAGCUCCAGACACCGACUGACUGGGAGGACGGUGCAGAGGUUGGCUCUGGCCUCAGAGAGAGAAGAGCGCACAAGUGGGAGAGGGAGAGAGAAUCUCAAGCAGACUCCCCACUGA